rnacentral:rRNA from 1 species
CCGGCGCACGGGUGAGUAACGCGUAUGCAACUUACCUAUCAGAGGGGGAUAACCCGGCGAAAGUCGGACUAAUACCGCAUGAAGCAGGGCCCCGCAUGUGGAUAUUUGCUAAAGAUUCAUCGCUGAUAGAUAGGCAUGCGUUCCAUUAGGCAGUUGGCGGGGUAACGGCCCACCAAACCGACGAUGGAUAGGGGUUCUGAGAGGAAGGUCCCCCACACUGGUACUGAGACACGGACCAGACUCCUACGGAAGGCAGCAG